GAGGCUAUGAAUCAUGAACAAAAGAGAUAAAGAUUAAAAGUCAUAUAGGAGGAAAUAAAAUUCUUAUGUGAGAAUCGCAUAUUUGAGUUUGGUGGACUCUGCCACAUGAGUCGGAAGGAGAAGAUUUAUUAGAUUAUCCAUCCAUAUAUAGGAUUAUAUUUUGUUUAAAUAAAUAAAAGAAAAGGAGAAGAGUUCUUUUUCGAUGCACAUUAGUAG
rnacentral:lncRNA from 1 species